UACUCGAGUGGCGAACGGGUGAGUAACACGUGGGUGAUCUGCCCUGCACUUCGGGAUAAGCUUGGGAAACUGGGUCUAAUACCGGAUAGGAACCAUCUUUAGUGUGGUGGUUAAAGUUUUUUCGGUGUAGGAUGAGCUCGCGGCCUAUCAGCUUGUUGGUGGGGUAAUGGCCUACCAAGGCGGCGACGGGUAGCCGGCCUGAGAGGGUGUACGGCCACAUUUGGACUGAGAUACGGCCCAG
rnacentral:rRNA from 1 species